rnacentral:rRNA from 1 species
UACGUAGGGUGCGAGCGUUGUCCGGAAUUACUGGGCGUAAAGAGCUCGUAGGUGGUUUGUCGCGUUGUUCGUGAAAACUCACAACUCAAUUGUGGGCGUGCGGGCGAUACGGGCAGACUGGAGUACUGCAGGGGAGACUGGAAUUCCUGGUGUAGCGGUGGAAUGCGCAGAUAUCAGGAGGAACACCGAUGGCGAAGGCAGGUCUCUGGGCCACUACUGACGCUGAGGAGCGAAAGCGUGGGGAGCAAACAGG